rnacentral:rRNA from 1 species
AUUGAACGCUGGCGGCAGGCCUAACACAUGCCAGUCGAGCGGAUGAAGGGAGCUUGCUCCUGGAUUCAGCGGCGGACGGGUGAGUAAUGCCUAGGAAUCUGCCUGGUAGUGGGGGAUAACGUCCGGAAACGGGCGCUAAUACCGCAUACGUCCUGAGGGAGAAAGUGGGGGAUCUUCGGACAUCACGCUAUCAGAUGAGCCUAGGUCGGAUUAGCUAGUUGGUGGGGUAAAGGCCUACCAAGGCGACGAUCCGUAACUGGUCUGAGAGGAUGAUCAGUCACACUGGAACUGAGACACGGUCCAGACUCCUACGGGAGGCAGCAGUGGGGAAUAUUGGACAAUGGGCGAAAGCCUGAUCCAGCCAUGCCGCGUGUGUGAAGAAGGUCUUCGGAUUGUAAAGCACUUUAAGGUGGGAGGAAGGGCAGUAAGUUAAUACCUUGCUGUUUUGACGUUACCAACAGAAUAAGCACCGGCUAACUUCGUG